AGAGUUUGAUCAUGGCUCAGAUUGAACGCUGGCGGCAGGCCUAACACAUGCAAGUCGAGCGGUAGCACAGAGAGCUUGCUCUCGGGUGACGAGCGGCGGACGGGUGAGUAAUGUCUGGGAAACUGCCUGAUGGAGGGGGAUAACUACUGGAAACGGUAGCUAAUACCGCAUAAUGUCGCAAGACCAAAGUGGGGGACCUUCGGGCCUCAUGCCAUCAGAUGUGCCCAGAUGGGAUUAGCUAGUAGGUGGGGUAACGGCUCACCUAGGCGACGAUCCCUAGCUGGUCUGAGAGGAUGACCAGCCACACUGGAACUGAGACACGGUCCAGACUCCUACGGGAGGCAGCAGUGGGGAAUAUUGCACAAUGGGCGCAAGCCUGAUGCAGCCAUGCCGCGUGUGUGAAGAAGGCCUUCGGGUUGUAAAGCACUUUCAGCGGGGAGGAAGGCGUUAAGGUUAAUAACCUUGGCGAUUGACGUUACCCGCAGAAGAAGCACCGGCUAACUCCGUGCCAGCAGCCGCGGUAAUACGGAGGGUGCAAGCGUUAAUCGGAAUUACUGGGCGUAAAGCGCACGCAGGCGGUCUGUCAAGUCGGAUGUGAAAUCCCCGGGCUCAACCUGGGAACUGCAUUCGAAACUGGCAGGCUAGAGUCUUGUAGAGGGGGGUAGAAUUCCAGGUGUAGCGGUGAAAUGCGUAGAGAUCUGGAGGAAUACCGGUGGCGAAGGCGGCCCCCUGGACAAAGACUGACGCUCAGGUGCGAAAGCGUGGGGAGCAAACAGGAUUAGAUACCCUGGUAGUCCACGCCGUAAACGAUGUCGAUUUGGAGGUUGUGCCCUUGAGGCGUGGCUUCCGGAGCUAACGCGUUAAAUCGACCGCCUGGGGAGUACGGCCGCAAGGUUAAAACUCAAAUGAAUUGACGGGGGCCCGCACAAGCGGUGGAGCAUGUGGUUUAAUUCGAUGCAACGCGAAGAACCUUACCUGGUCUUGACAUCCACAGAACUUUCCAGAGAUGGAUUGGUGCCUUCGGGAACUGUGAGACAGGUGCUGCAUGGCUGUCGUCAGCUCGUGNGCACUAGCGCGGUGGUCCCACCUGACCCCAUGCCGAACUCAGAAGUGAAACGCCGUAGCGCCGAUGGUAGUGUGGGGUCUCCCCAUGUGAGAGUAGGGAACUGCCAGGCAUCAAAUAAAGCAGAAAGCCCGGUCAAAAGACCGGGCUUUUUGUUUUUGCGUUUAAAAAGAACCCCGUCCCGAAAGGUGCGGGUUUUUUUGCUGUGUGGGGUAUAUCUCCCCCGGUGGCGCUGCGCUUACCGGGGCUACGGGCCUGUCGCGUUCUGUAGCCCGCACCGGUACACCACAUCACCACCGGUAACGCCCCGCAAUAUCAUUGCCCCUGUAAUCAGACAAGCCUUCCCCCGCCAGAUACGAUAAACUAACGCCGAUUUUGCAUCAGGAAGCCACUAUGAACCACUCCCUCAAACCCUGGAAUACCUUUGGCAUUGAACGCUUCGCCAAGACGAUAGUACGCGCCGAAACUGAGCAACAGUUGCUAAGCGCCUGGCAAACCGCUGCCGCGGCAGGCGAACCC
rnacentral:rRNA from 1 species